AUUGAACGCUGGCGGCAGGCCUAACACAUGCAAGUCGAACGGUAACAGGAAACAGCUUGCUGUUUCGCUGCCGAGUGGCGGACGGGUGAGUAAUGUCUGGGAAACUGCCUGAUGGAGGGGGAUAACUACUGGAAACGGUAGCUAAUACCGCAUAACGUCGCAAGACCAAAGAGGGGGACCCUCGGGCCUCUUGCCAUCGGAUGUGCCCAGAUGGGAUUAGCUUGUUGGUGGGGUAACGGCUCACCAAGGCGACGAUCCCUAGCUGGUCUGAGAGGAUGACCAGCCACACUGGAACUGAGACACGGUCCAGACUCCUACGGGAGGCAGCAGUGGGGAAUAUUGCACAAUGGGCGCAAGCCUGAUGCAGCCAUGCCGCGUGUAUGAAGAAGGCCUUCGGGUUGUAAAGUACUUUCAGCGGGGAGGAAGGGAGUAAAGUUAAUACCUUUGCUCAUUGACGUUACCCGCAGAAGAAGCACCGGCUAACUCCGUG
rnacentral:rRNA from 1 species